CCUACGGGCGGCAGCAGUGAGGAAUAUUGGUCAAUGGACGAGAGUCUGAACCAGCCAAGUAGCGUGAAGGAUGACUGCCCUAUGGGUUGUAAACUUCUUUUAUAUGGGAAUAAAACGUUCCACGUGUGGGAUUUUGUAUGUACCAUAUGAAUAAGGAUCGGCUAACUCCGUGCCAGCAGCCGCGGUAAUACGGAGGAUCCGAGUGUUAUCCGGAUUUAUUGGGUUUAAAGGGAGCGUAGGUGGAUUGUUAAGUCAGUUGUGAAAGUUUGCGGCUCAACCGUAAAAUUGCAGUUGAAACUGGCAGUCUUGAGUACAGUAGAGGUGGGCGGAAUUCGUGGUGUAGCGGUGAAAUGCUUAGAUAUCACGAAGAACUCCGAUUGCGAAGGCAGUUCACUGGACUGCAACUGACACUGAGGCUCGAAAGUGUGGGUAUCAAACAGGAUUAGAUACCCGUGUAGUC
rnacentral:rRNA from 1 species